GACGAACGCUGGCGGCGUGCCUAAUACAUGCAAGUUGAGCGCUGAAGGUUGGUACUUGUACCGACUGGAUGAGCAGCGAACGGGUGAGUAACGCGUGGGGAAUCUGCCUUUGAGCGGGGGACAACAUUUGGAAACGAAUGCUAAUACCGCAUAAAAACUUUAAACACAAGUUUUAAGUUUGAAAGAUGCAAUUGCAUCACUCAAAGAUGAUCCCGCGUUGUAUUAGCUAGUUGGUGAGGUAAAGGCUCACCAAGGCGAUGAUGCAUAGCCGACCUGAGGGGGGGGACGGCCAACAUUGGACUGGGGAAACGGCCAAGAUCCUUCGGGGGGCAGCAGGAGGGAAUCUUUCGGAAAGGGCCAAAGGCUGACCGGGCAACGCCGGGGUGGUGGAGGAGGUUCUCGGGUCGGAAAACUCCGUUGGUAGGGGAGGAAGUUGGGGGGAGUGAAAUGCGCAUAAAGUGACGGUAACUACCCAGAAAGGGACGGCUAACUACGUG
rnacentral:rRNA from 1 species